rnacentral:rRNA from 1 species
UACGGAGGGGGCUAGCGUUGUUCGGAAUUACUGGGCGUAAAGCGCACGUAGGCGGCUUUGUAAGUUAGAGGUGAAAGCCUGGUGCUCAACACCAGAACUGCCUUUAAGACUGCAUCGCUUGAAUCAUGGAGAGGCGGGUGGAAUUCCGAGUGUAGAGGUGAAAUUCGUAGAUAUUCGGAAGAACACCAGUGGCGAAGCGGCCCGCUGGACAUGUAUUGACGCUGAGGUGCGAAAGCGUGGGGAGCAAACAGG